AUUUGAGUCAUUACAGUAAAACAUGGAUUAUAAGUGAAUUAUACGCGUAAGAGAAGAUUUUCUGUCGAAAAAACUAAUGUCAACAAUCAGCAUGGAAUUGGGAUAUUCGUAUCAAAGGGCUAUUCAUGCAGGAAAAGGACUGAAUAUUACUAUUAUAUGAAGAAUUCCAGCCUGCAUUAAAUACUUUGUUGGAUCAUUGAGACAGAUUUGACAUCCAUGUCUAUCCACAUCUGAUAGAGAUGAUCACUAAACAUUCUAGAUGGGUAAAGACCUGUUAAAUCAGCAUUGACUCAGCAUUGAGUAAUUUUCAUCUGUGCAGACACUACAAGUACAAACGCAUGGGAAUAAACCAAACUUCAAAUGUUGAAGAGUGAAGAAUUAUUGUGAAAAGUUCUAAAUGUUAGAAUACCAUUGACUAAAUAAAACAAAUAGACAUCGAUUACCAACAGAGACUGUUUACAUGUUAUAAUAUUCAAAAGACAUUAGUUGAGAACUUUCACUCUGACAUUUUUGGAGGGGCAUUACCGCCUACUUAGUGUUCUUGUUUCUUUACAUAUUUUAAUUUAAAAGUACAUUCAUUGUUUUUAAAUCUGAAUUCUGAGUUAGUAUCAUAAGUAAAAUUCAUUUAUUUGAAUGAUUACAUUUUAUGAAUAAGUCCAAUUGAGCUUUUUACAAGAAAAAGGUUGAUUUUUAAGCAUUUUAUUAGUUAUAAAAAUGUAUAGUUACAUGACAUUAUGUAUAUUUUCUUCAAAACUGAACGGUAAACUAUCAUAAAUUGUCUUUUGAAUUGUUCAUUAGACAUCAUAGAAAAUAUUUAAAUGAUUUCAGCAGGUUGUCUUAUUAUUAACUAUUUUUUUAUGAAUUUAUACAACUGCUAUAUAUUUUCAAACAUCGAAAUACUGCUCUGUUCCGAAGACUCACAAGAUCAAUCAAAAUGAUUUUUUUUCCAUGUGUAUCAAUAAUAUGUUCGGUUGAACGUAACUUUUCUGUUAACUGAAGUUUAUUUUACCAGAAACUGUUGUGUUUAUUUCAUAAUCUCUGAUAAUGUGAAAAAAAAAUCAAAUAAAGACAAAAUAUUUUUAAUUAACAGUAAAAAAUCUUCAAAAUUUGGAUAAAAGUCCCAUAACGUACCAUGAUAAUAACUAUGUUGUCCGUAAAAGCUUUAUAAAAGUGUGUAUUACUUAUACCUUAAUUCAGUUCAAAUAAUUAUGGCCUUUAAGGAUUUGUGUUUUCAUAAUAUAGAUUUCCUGUUAUAUUGAGCUUUGUCAAUUUGUGUUGAUGUUUUGUUUUAUGUACAAUUACUACUUCUAUUUCCUAACUUUUGUCUCAUUUGUCAAAUUGAAUUGUUACAUAUUUAAGUGAAAACACACACACACUAUUUUUAAAGAUGCACUCUUACUCCCCAAUAAGACUUAUGAUAAUUAAUAUUAUUGUUUUCAUUUUUCAAAAUGGGUUGAUAGAUGUCAACAACAAUGUUUCUAAUGAAGGAUCUUGAGUUCAAUUUGCUAAUAAGAAUGAACUUAAAACAUGGUAUUUCUGCCGUGUGAUACUAUAGUAGACCACAGUAAAUCUUUUAGCAAUCACCAAUUGAUCAUUUAAUAUUUGUCAUGCAUUCUGCUAUUAUAAACAGGGUGACAAGCUUGUUAUCAGUAAACGAUAUUUCAGUAAAUGCAUUAUUUAGUAAGUAGUUAUUG